GGGUUGUUGCUGGUUCUCUUGGGAGCAUGUGCACGCCUUGUCAUCUUUAUAUCUCCACCUGUGCACCCUUUGUAGACCUUCCCAGGUCUAUGUUGCUUCAUUUACCCCAAUGUAUGUUAAUAGAAUGUUGUGACUAUAAAAAUCUAUACAACUUUCAGCAACGGAUCUCUUGGCUCUCGCAUCGAUGAAGAACGCAGCGAAAUGCGAUAAGUAAUGUGAAUUGCAGAAUUCAGUGAAUCAUCGAAUCUUUGAACGCACCUUGCGCUCCUUGGUAUUCCGAGGAGCAUGCCUGUUUGAGUGUCAUUAAUAUAUAUCAACCUCUCUUUUUUGAGUGGCUUGGAUGUGGGGGGGUUUUGCUGGCCUGUUCAGCUCCUCUGAAAUACAUUAGCAGAACAAACCUGUUCAUUGGUGUGAUAACUAUCUACGCUAUUGAAUGUGAGGGGCAGUUCAGCUUUCCAACAGUCCUUGGACAACUUAUCAUUUAUGUGACCUCAAAUCAGGUAGGACUACCCGCUGAACUUAAGCAUAUC
rnacentral:rRNA from 1 species